GGCAGUCACACUGUUAUGACCAUUAUCAAAUAUUACAAGUUUUUAGAACUAAAUUCUUUAUUUUGGGUGUGCACAGAGUUAACAAAUAGCCUUGGUACAUCACAACAGCGACCCCAGGUACGGUUGUUAAACAUUGAUAUUACAUGUCAUGGCAGUCGUUAUACAGGCACAUUUUUAUGAUAGUAUGAUCUCUCUUACAGUAGUUCACAUCCGCUUUUAGUUCAGAUAAGUUAGCACAAAGUACAUCAUGGGAGAAUAGGCAGAGGAGAAACAAAAGAGGAAAACAUGACAUGCAGAGAUUAUAUGAACAAGAUUAUACUAUUAAGCUCCUGCUAGGCUUAUUGACGAGGUGGUUGUGCAUCUCUCUUGUCUGCCUAAGCGGUGAUUAAAUGGUUGCAUGUUGUUCUAGCCUUAAGCUAAGGUGUGGGUGGCUUGGAAACAUAGACAAAAAUAUAAAAGCAGCGGCAACAAUGAGGAUUGUGUUUCAAAGCUUAAAAUGACCACCUCGUGUUGGCCUGGGAUUGCCCCAACGAGGGACAAGAACCUCGCAGCAAGCCUCUCCUCAAGACCAGGGUUGCCUCUUGCACUGGGGCACAGCUAACAGUCGUUAGGUAUAUGUUAUGCCGUUUUUUAGGGUCGAAAACUGGAGAAGUUUUCAGGAGCUACUCCACUGUGCGUUCCCUCAGCAUGACGGUCCGGCCUCGCCCCGGCAAACAAUUUUUUAAACUGUGUACUGUGUAAUUUUUUUAAACUGACAAUUUGUAACAAAUUAAAAAUCUUUUUCAUACGUUUCUUUAAUAAAUUACAUCAUGGGGGGCGGGGCAGGACCGCCGAGCGGGAAAGACACAAGUCAGAGCAGCUCUGGGACCACACUAAAGAAUACUCUUUAAAACCAUGUCUUACUAUCCAAAACCAGACCAACUGCGAAGACACCCAAUGCUGAGGGUCUGCUGGACCCGGGGAGAGACUGGCUCGUCGAGCUUCAGUCCCUCAGGGGAAAAAACUACGCUGCCCCAACUGAGUCCUUCUCUGGCGGUGAGAGGGAUGGACGGCCGCUGCCCCACUAUCCUGCACCACAGCACCCAGCCACAGGUACAUACCGACCGAGACCCGUCCCAUCCCUAUGGACCGGUGGGGGUGAUCCUGGUCCUCACCCUUUGGCCCUGACCGUGGCACCGCA